AUGUUAGAGGAUAUUUUGGACCGGCGACACGACGAAAUAAAAAGAUACGAGGCGAUAAACCUGUGUUUUAAGUAUGAUGUGGCACGGACCAACACAACGUGGACGGACGUCAAUCCCCUUAGCUGUCACAUAAUCACAACACAUCAAGUCCCGAAGUCAGCUAUUGGUUUUAUAAAACGCUCAUCAAAUGAAAUAGCCAACAUCAGAGGAAUGUCUUGUACUAGGCGGCGGAGGUGUGUUGCUUUGCAUGCCGAAGAUCUUGGCCUCAAUUUCUGGUACCCAAGUUUUUUGUUUGUUUUUCGGAAGGUGCCUGCCUUGGCUUGUUAA
ensembl:lncRNA